CGUAAAUCGGGCACAAUAUUGGCAUACAUUAUCGUGUUUGUGUGUAGGCCGUUAAACAAUGGCCCCUACCUCGGGAAGAAGACUUUAAUCAAGCACUACCUGGAAAAGAAAACACACUACCUUGAAGAGCGAAACUGGCUUACAACCGUAUCCUGAUGCAUCAGUAGAAUGAAUUAGACAAGACAGCCCUACAGAGACGAGACAGCCCAACAAGGGAGCCCUAGACUUCCCAUAACUGCCGGCGACGACAAAUUCUGCAGGGAUUGGGGACCUCCUUUAGGAACUGUGACGGAAAGACUAGCUGAGUAAAUUUUUAUCUUUAUAACUUUUGUACCGAUUACCAGCAGGGUCUCGGUUACGGGCUCAGAAAAUUAACUUGGUUGUCUGUAUACAAUAAAAUGAUUUUUGUUAAGUUUUUUUAUAUCUGAAUAAAUAGUAUAUUUAAAAUGA
rnacentral:lncRNA from 1 species